UUAACACUUGAGUCACUGGACUGGGAGAGGCAGACCCACCCUCAAUCUGGGUGGGCACCCAGCUGCCAGCUCAGCUGCCAGUGUGGCUAAAAUAAAGCAGGCAGAGGAACGUGGAAGGACUAGACUGCCUGAGUCUUCUGACCUUCAUCUUUCCCCUGUGUUGGAUGCCUCCUGCCCUCAAACAUCAGACUCCAGGUUCUUCAGCUUUUGGACUCUUGGACCUACCCCCCGAGUGGUUUGCCAGGGGCUCUCAGGCCUUCGGCUACAGACUGAGGGCUGCAUUAUCAGCUUUCCUACUUUUGAGGUUUUGGGACUUUACUGGCUUUCUUGCUCCUCAACUUGCAGAUGGCCUGUUGUGGGACCUCACCUUGUGAUCAUGUACAUGAGGGAAAUACACACCCCUCCCAGGGAUGAUGGAAGGUUAAGGUCCUAACACCUCCUGCACAUCUGAGCAGCUGCACAUUGAACCAGAUAGUCCUGGAAUGUGGGAAAACAGAGGCAGACUCAAGAGUCUGGAACAUUAUUUUAGGAUCACACAAAAAAGAUACAUAAUUUUCAUAGGUAGCAAAACAGCAGAAUUUGGAAAAUAACCUAAUAUGCAUAAACCAUGAAUGGCAUCCCCGGAGAGACACAAGCCCAAACCCUGAGCGUCCAGAGCAUUUUAAUUCGGGAUGCAGUGCUUUAAAGCCCUAGGGAUUAUUUUCAGCAGAAUUGACUCUAUGAAUAUGAAUUAUUCUUCAUGUCAGCCUUUUUUUUUUUUUUUCUGAGAAGGAAAUCUGAUACAAGAUUGAAUAGGAGAACAAGUAGCAGAAUUUAGGGCAAUAUAAAAGGGCCCUGGAAGGCAGGUGAACACAUUUUUCUUCCUUGCCCAGAAAAAUGUCAAUAGGCAUUUUACAGCUUCUCCUUUUCUUUCCUUUGCAUUCUGUCCUCACUGAAAAUGCCCAGUUCACAGCCUGAUAUUCUUUGAGCGUUUUUCCAUUCAAGUCCCAGUUAAGUGAUCACUCCUGGGUCUCCAACUGGUUUCGGUCCCGAAGCUGUGUUUGCAGAGAUGGAAGGAUGCUUGUUGAAGUCGGGACGUCCAAGGGCCACAUAAGUGAGGAUCUAAUUGCCGUGCCUUGUCUCAAGGAGUCUUGAGUUCAUGAUGUCUUAUAUUUCUUCAUUACUUCCCAAAGCAAAACUUUGUACAUCUAGACAUAUACGACAAGUUUGUUUUUUAUGAUUGUUUUAGUUUGUCUUGGCAAUUGACGUGGGAAGUUGUUAAUGCAGUAGACAGAUGAAAUAAAGACUUGGAGAUUAGAUGAACUGCUCCAAUCAGAGCCUGGAUGCAAUGCCCUGUUGCCCUCUCUUUCAGAUCUAUCCAAAGUUAACUUGACUCCAUCGACUGGCCCUUAAUUUCUGCAGUUCUCUCAGUUCUGGGAAUAACCUUAUGAUUGUUCUUCAGGUGGAGACCCUAGAAAACCUCCAGAGUUUGCUUUGAUCCUCAUACUCCACCUCCCAAGGAGGAAUAAAUUUGGAAGUGUAUAAUAAAUCAAAGAUAAAUUUGGAAGCACAUAUGAAAAAGCUUUUAUGGGACUUCUGCUUUUGAGUAAGAUGGAGAUAUUGGUGACAGACUAAUCCUGAAAAUCAGAACAACUAGAUGAAACAGAUAAAAUCCAAAAAUUAUCUGUUUUAAAGGUACCAAGGAGCUGUUGAAGCAAUGUAGGUAGAGAGGCUGAAAGACAGCAAAGGGGAGAAUCUGCACCAGCCUUUUAUCCUGGGGCACUGUGGGUUCACUGUGAGUUCUGGGUGAGAACGAGAAGCUUGGCAUCUAAACUCUACCCAAACCCCUUCUCAGCGGGCAGGAUGCAGAGGUUUCAGCAGAGCUCAGGGAAGGUAGCCAGGAUGUGCAACACAAUAGGGCCUUCAACACAGGACCAGCUUCCCCCUCAAGACAUUUGCUGAAUUCUGAAGCUGCAAGGGAAGGACAUAGGAAAGCUAAGCUGAGUACAUCAGAAGAGCUGGGUCGAGUUUUCUGCAGUGUGACGAUGCCUUGGAGACCCAGGUUAGAGUUCAGUUCCCAGGAGAGGCAGUGUUCCUGGGAUGCACCAGCCUCAGUCAAAGCCCUGGAAGUUCAUGUUGCCGGAAGAGGAUCAGCCCAGAGGAGGCUUACCCAAACUGCAAAUUAAAGGCAAAAUAGUGAAAGCUUUCCCUCAAGUGGUGGAAAGAAAUAAGGGUGCCUACUGUUUACCACUUCUAACCUACAUGGUCCUGGAAGUCCAGGCCAGGGCAAUAAUGCAAGCCAACGUAUAAAGGGCAGAAUCAUUGGAAAGGAAGAAAAAACUUACUAGACACAGAUGAACUGUCUCUAUAUGAAGAAAAAUCCAAAAGAAUCUGCAAACAACUUAAAUUUAAUGUCUCUUUACGCAGUCUCCGCAUGUAAGGUCAGUAUAAAAAAAUCACCUCUAUAUCUAUAGACCUGCAACACAGAGAAAAUAAAAUCUUGCAAUUGCAGGAUUUGCAACAGCAUCGAGGAAUAUUAAAUACUUAAAUAGAAAUUUUAAAGAGGUAUAUGAGAUUUGUGUUCUAAAGCCACAAAGCAUCUCUGAGAGGGAACUCAAAGGGAGAUCUAAAUAAGUAGAUAUAGUAAAUAAGUAGAUCUAGGACAUUUGUCAAUCAGAAGACUCACUUGUAAACAUGUCGACUCUUCCUACAUGUAUCCCCAGCCUCAUGCAAUCCCAGGAGAUUACAUGUGUGUGUAUUUGUAAAUUGACUCAAGUGAUUACAAGAUUUAUAUGAAAAUGCAGUGAGCCAAAAAUAGCCAGGAAAUCUUAAGGAAUAAGAGCGGAGAGCAGAGGAAGGCUUCAUGGGCCGGGUAGGGGGGCGGGGAGCCUUGAGCUAAGCCGUUGGGUGCAUGGGUGGUAAGUGGAAUUUUGUUAGGGACUAGAACCAUAACAAGUUUGUUGGGGUAACCCUAACACCUAUCCUAAUGCCUGCCUGAUGCCUAACAAAUAUUCAAUAAAUAUUGGUUAAAUGUACAUAUGAAUGAAUGGACAGAUGCUUGAGAUAAGAGUAUGUCAGGUUAAAAGGACAGUAGAAGCAACAGUAAAGAAACACGAAACUAUCUUACAGUGAGGCAUCAAAUGUGUCCUAAGUGCGUAUGUGAGCUGCAGAAGAAAGGGAGGCUAGAAUAUUCAGACAGGGCAGUGUUGUGCAGAGGUCUGAAGUAGGCUUGUAGCAUUUGGACCUUACUCUUUAGGCAUCUAACAUUUUGGAACAAUGUAAAAUGAGUGAUAGGUUGGGAGAUGAAUUGGGCCAGUGACAGGGGAGCCACAUGACACCCACCCAGUCACUUCCCUGAAGGACACCCUCUUUGCUUUCUAUAUCCAGCACCAGCAAUAAAAUUGGAAUUCUUUGCUAAGGUCAUUGUUCAUAUAUUUAAUAUAGAAAUCUCCCCAAAUGUUAAAAGCUGACAGACACUUAAUUUAAAAGCCUAAGUACUCUCUGUCUGAGCCCUGACUAUGCCAAAAGCAAAGCUUUUUGUGCUAUCAAGAAUUUGAUGGGAUUUCCUUUUUGCAUUUCCUUUUCAAAAACCAUUAGAACAGCCAGCACCAUGCUCCUCUGGAGACCCUUACAUUCUACCUUCAUGAAUUUUCUUGGUUAGGAACAGAGUGCAUGAACUCUUUGGGUCUCUCUGUUAGGAUGGGUUUCAGCUAACUGUACUUUAGUACAGUUAGUACCAGUGCUUUAAUACACACAAGCUUACACUCACAACGAAGUCCAGAGCAAAGCAGUCUGUGAUGAUUAUGGCAGUUUCAUGCUGUCAUCUCCUAUGAGACAGCCCUGCCAGAAGGGCUGCUCACAUCCUGAUGGCUAGAACUGGUUACAUGGCUGUGCUGGUUGCAACAAAAGCUGGAAAAUGAAGUGUAUUGAUACUCCAAAAGAAGCAGAGUUUCGGUAAUACAGAAGAAUAUUGGUGGACAUUGAAUAGGUCACCAGCAGUCAUUGCUACAUGAUCCAGUCUUCCUUUCUAAAACAAGAACAAUCUUGUAGAAAGCGGGAACUUUGAGACUUUCUUAGCUGAGAAAUUUGUUGUUAUUGUUGCUUUACAAUCUCUCCUCCUCUCCUAAGAAGUUGUCCAAGGAAACUGGAGGUUCUUUGUUUCUUAAGCUGGUUGAAGAUAUAGUUUGCAAACCUGAACAGAACAAAAUAACUAUUCACCAGAAGAAGAAGAAAAAAAAAAGGCAGGUGGAGGUGGGAAGGAAUGUAGGCAAGAUCAACCAAAUCAAUAAAAGAACUAAUACCCAUAAAGUAAAAUGAGCAAUGGUCUUGAAUACAUAUUUCACAGAAGAAUACAAAUGGCUUCAAAUUAUGGUAAAAUUGGAUACCAGAUAACUGUGCUUUUAAAAAUCAAACUGGGAAAUAUUUAAAUUAUGAUAAUACUCAGUACUAGUGAGCUUGUGGCUUGGGAGAAUAAUUAGUAGAGCUUUUAUGAAAAGUCUUGCUCUGUCUCCCAGGUUAUGUAGCACAGUGGUGUGAUGUUGGCUCACUGCAGCCUCAACAUUCUGGAAUCAAGCGAUCCUCCCUCUUCCGCCUCCCGAGUAGCUGGAACUACAGGUGCAUACGACCAUGCCUGGCAUUUUUUGUAUUUUUGGUAAAGAUGGGGUUUCACCAUAUUGCCAAGGCUGUUCUCAAACUUCUGGACUCAAGCAAUCCUCCCACCUGGGCCUCCCAAAGUGCUGGGAUUACAGGCAUAAGCUACUGCACCCGGCCAAUAAUCAAUUACUUUCUUCAAUUAUCUUACUAAUGAUACUGAAAGCAUCUCAAAAAUAAAAUCACGAGUAUCUGCAGACACAUUGAUAUGACUACAUGCUGGACAUUUUCUUGCGGAAAUCCAAAAGAAAUCCCCAUUUUCUUGCAGAAAUCUAAAAUAAUCUCCCCUAUGUGCAAGUCAGACUGAGCACCACUCCCAAGACCAUGACCUCCCCUGCAGCCCUGCUCCUUCCCACUCACCUCUCCUCUUGAGAAAGCCACCUCCCACCACCCAGUCUGCAGUGCCAGAAAACUGGAAACCAGCCCCUAAGCUGCUUUCACCUUCGGCCCAUUUCUCACUAGCCAGCCUCUCCCACGGCCUCCCCAGUUUCUUCAAAUACACCCCCUCCACUAUUCACCAUACUGCCACCGUGAUUUAUUUACAACUUUUUGUCCGGAUUACCUCAGUAGCCUUCUAAUUGUCCCCUUUGCAUCUAAAGUAGCCCCUCUCAUCCCCCAAAUCUUACGGAAUCAGAAAAACCUUUAAUGAAGAGUGACGGAGAGAAUGGCCUGUGAUUGGAUUGUGAGCCUGUUUCUGCCACCAGGCAGCCCCUCUGCAGGCAUCUCCCUCCCACCUGACCCGUGGUCUGUGCGAGUGCAAGUUAAAAGGGUCAUUUCCUUGCCUCAGAGCUGAUCUCAGCCUUAGAUACUUUCCAGUUUCUCUGCUACCUGUCAUUCAGUCUUUUGAAGUACAGCAUUAAUUUUAACUGUGAUUUCAUUGCAAAAACAAAUUUGCCAAUGGAAUGCUAUUCGUGUCAUUUAUUUCCCCAGAUCUUCCUAUGAGCUCAUCUCUCUCAUUCAAUUGUCUCUACUCCAAUGUCACUUCCUUGGCUGAAGGAAAAAUCAGUCCUCAUUCCACACACUGCAACCUUGCCUUAGUUGAUUUACAGCACAUAUCGUAUCAUAACCUGA
rnacentral:lncRNA from 1 species